CGUGCUAAUCUGCGAAAAGCGCCGGCGAGGUGAUAUGAACCUUUGACCCGGCGAUGUCCGAAUGGGGAAACCCAGUGUGWUCCGACACACUAUCGUUAACUGAAUACAUAGGUUAACGAGGCGAACCGGGGGAACUGAAACAUCUAAGUACCCCGAGGAAAAGAAAUCAACCGAGAUUCCCCCAGUAGCGGCGAGCGAACGGGGAGCAGCCCAGAGUCUGAAUCAGCUUGUGUGUUAGUGGAAGCGUCUGGAAAGUCGCACGGUACAGGGUGACAGUCCCGUACACGAAAGCACACAGGYUGUGAACUCGAAGAGUAGGGCGGGACACGUGGUAUCCUGUCUGAAUAUGGGGGGACCAUCCUCCAAGGCUAAAUACUCCUGACUGACCGAUAGUGAACCAGUACCGUGAGGGAAAGGCGAAAAGAACCCCGGCGAGGGGAGUGAAAAAGAACCUGAAACCGUGUACGUACAAGCAGUGGGAGCCUCUUUUAUGGGGUGACUGCGUACCUUUUGUAUAAUGGGUCAGCGACUUAUAUUCUGUAGCAAGGUUAACCGUAUAGGGGAGCCGAAGGGAAACCGAGUCUUAACUGGGCGUUAAGUUGCAGGGUAUAGACCCGAAACCCGGUGAUCUAGCCAUGGGCAGGUUGAAGGUUGGGUAACACUAACUGGAGGACCGAACCGACUAAUGUUGAAAAAUUAGCGGAUGACUUGUGGCUGGGGGUGAAAGGCCAAUCAAACCGGGAGAUAGCUGGUUCUCCCCGAAAGCUAUUUAGG
rnacentral:rRNA from 1 species